rnacentral:rRNA from 1 species
UACGUAGGUGGCGAGCGUUGUCCGGAUUUAUUGGGCGUAAAGCGCGCGCAGGUGGUGCGGUAAGUCUGUCGUGAAAUCUCCCGGCUCAACUGGGAGGGUGCGGUGGAGACUGCCGGACUGGAGGCACUCAGAGGCCGGUGGAAUUCCCGGUGUAGUGGUGAAAUGCGUAGAGAUCGGGAGGAACACCGGUGGCGAAGGCGGCCUGCUGGGCAGUUGCUGACACUGAGGCGCGACAGCGUGGGGAGCAAACAGG